AAGGUGAAGAUUUGAGAUAAAGACGACUCCACCCAGAUCCUAUGCUUCCUUGCCUGGUCUUUCUCUCCGUCUUCCCACGCACACAAAAAUACAAUACACAACGCAGAGACUUCAUAGGGAGACCGAGGACUAGACGGACCCGGGAUAGGGGAAGCCAGCUUCAAGGGUUACAUAUAUAUGUAUGAGGCGUGGUAAGUAUCACAUAUUUAAUAUGGAACAACUUCAAAAUGCAAAAAAAUUGUUUCCUAAAUAAUUCCCAUUCAUCACACCAUUUUCGUAAUUAGGUUCGGAUAACAAACAGAAAAAGCAAACAAUAAAACUCUUAUAUAUCUUCUAUGAAUACAAAAUAAUAUUGUGGUUUAGUAAAAAACAGAAAAAGAAAAACAGUCACGUGGCAACAUGACGCGUCAGCGACUCAGGAAGUAAACAGAUCCAUGUCUGUCUCCAACACAGAAGCACAACGAUGAAAAAGUCUCACUGAAGAAAAUCAAACAAAAAUAGUCUUACCAAGUGUCGUAUGUCCAUGUCUCUGUGUGGGUACCCCCAAGUACUUACCAAGUGUCGUAUGUCCAUGUUUCUGUGUGGGUACCCCCAAGUACUGUGGAGUUUACGAGGCUGCAUAGAUGAACUUUUCGGCCUCUGCUGAAUUGUCAAAAAAAGUGUUGUUGGGAGCCUUUGGAUAGUUUGAUUGUUGCUGGAUAGAUGAGAAAGGCUUCAAAGCCAUCUUUUCGAGCGCUGUACAUAGUGGAGUAGCAGCCAAGGCAGGGAACCACUUGGGGAUGUUGGCGGACAAGAUGACAACAGUCCCCUCUGGUGGCUGGAUGUGGAAUGACGACAGCAACACUGGAGUUUAAAGGAGGGCGCCAAAGCUGAAGGAAGAGCCUGAGUGCAGCCCGUUUGAAUGCUGCUGCAAAGGCAAGGCGACCACGUCACUAUUGAUGACGUCAAAC